CGGACUUCAGUUCAACGAAUA
rnacentral:miRNA from 1 species